GAUGAACGCUGGCGGCGUGCCUAAUACAUGCAAGUCGAGCGAACAGACGAGGAGCUUGCUCCUCUGACGGUAGCGGCGGACGGGUGAGUAACACGUGGAUAACCUACCUAUAAGACUGGGAUAACUUCGGGAAACCGGAGCUAAUACCGGAUAAUAUAUUGAACCGCAUGGUUCAAUAGUGAAAGACGGUUUUGCUGUCACUUAUAGAUGAAUCCGCGUCGCAUUAGCUAGUUGGUAAGGUAACGGCUUACCAAGGCGACGAUGCGUAGCCGACCUGAGAGGGUGAUCGGCCACACUGGAACUGAGACACGGUCCAGACUCCUACGGGAGGCAGCAGUAGGGAAUCUUCCACAAUGGGCGCAAGCCUGACGCAGCAACGCCGCGUGAGUGAUGAAGGUCUUCGGAUCGUAAAACUCUGUUAUUAGGGAAGAACAAAUGUGUAAGUAACUAUGCACGUCUUGACGGUACCCAAUCAGAAAGCACCGGCUAACUACGUG
rnacentral:rRNA from 1 species